UACGUAGGGGGCAAGCGUUGUCCGGAUUUAUUGGGCGUAAAGAGCUCGUAGGCGGUUCGUCGCGUCGGCUGUGAAAUCCCGAGGCUCAACCUCGGGUCUGCAGUCGAUACGGGCGGACUGGAGUACUGCAGGGGAGACUGGAAUUCCUGGUGUAGCGGUGAAAUGCGCAGAUAUCAGGAGGAACACCGGUGGCGAAGGCGGGUCUCUGGGCAGUUACUGACGCUGAGGAGCGAAAGCGUGGGGAGCGAACAGG
rnacentral:rRNA from 1 species